AUUGAACGCUGGCGGCAGGCCUAACACAUGCAAGUCGAGCGGAUGAAGGGAGCUUGCUCCUGGAUUCAGCGGCGGACAGGUGAGUAAUGCCUAGGAAUCUGCCUGGUAGUGGGGGAUAACGUCCGGAAACGGGCGCUAAUACCGCAUACGUCCUGAGGGAGAAAGUGGGGGAUCUUCGGACCUCACGCUAUCAGAUGAGCCUAGGUCGGAUUAGCUAGUUGGUGGGGUAAAGGCCUACCAAGGCGACGAUCCGUAACUGGUCUGAGAGGAUGAUCAGUCACCCUGGAACUGAGACACGGUCCAGACUCCUACGGGAGGCAGCAGUGGGGAAUAUUGGACAAUGGGCGAAAGCCUGAUCCAGCCAUGCCGCGUGUGUGAAGAAGGUCUUCGGAUUGUAAAGCACUUUAAGUUGGGAGGAAGGGCAGUAAGUUAAUACCUUGCUGUUUUGACGUUACCAACAGAAUAAGCACCGGCUAACUUCGUG
rnacentral:rRNA from 1 species